UGGUAGAUGCACCCUGAUAACAAACUCCCCUUGCUAGCUGUCGGUUGCUAGGGGAUUUUUUU
rfam:Fischerella sp. JSC-11 ctg88, whole genome shotgun sequence.